UCUAAAGAGAAAAAUCCAUAUUAAUGCAUUAUUUUCAUGAAUCAAUUCAAGUUCACCACAACCAAAUCUGAAGGUCAGGUUACUCUGCCUACUCUGUAGAUAAACAUGAUGCUGAGACAAAUGACCCAAGUUCUUGACUCUGUAAAUAAAAGAGCUAAUAAAGGUUCAGAAAUGGGCCCCAAUGGGAUGUUUUUAGAGAAAGAACUGUAUUCAUCACUCAGCCAUAUGUUCCCACUGCAGGUUGUUCCAAUAUAUUUAUGCAGUUAUAUCUCCUACAGAGAGGUUGGAUGUUGUUCUUCAUUGUAAGGUGGGCUCAGUGGUCAUCUCUGUGGGCAGAUAUGCUGCUAAGGGUACAAAAUGUAAAACAUACAUAGUCCACGUGGUUGCAGUCUAGCAAAAAAACCAAAGGCUCUGCUUCUCAUUUCUUUCUUAUUCCUCUAUUUGCCCAAAAUUUUCACUACAGUUCAUAUCAAGAGAUGCCCUGAAAAAUUCAUAAUCAAUGACAUAAUUAUACUAACAUUCAUUCUGUUUCCUUCUAGUUCCCCAAAAGUACUUGGUGAAGUCAGCUCCUGGAAAAAGCAUGGGUCUGGAGGACCCAACAACUACCAUGUUCUGGAGAUUAAAGUGUAUGGUCCUUGCAUCUGCAUGGUUCUGCUGAAGGCCCUCUUAUCUGUAUCACGUGAUUGUUGGUGUCAUCAUGUGUGCAGGUACAGGAGGGAGACAUACAUGGGGAGACUGGAAGCCAGCAGGGAUCAGAUGACUCAUUUGCUCUUUUUUGUAUAACCAGGAUCUAACUAGGUUGUGAGAAAACUAUAUUCUUGCCUCUAAGCUCAAAUGAUCUCAUCACCUUCAACCAGACUUUUACUCUUACAGGUUUUAGAACUCUUAUUAUGGCCAUACUAAGGACCCAGCCUCUAACUUGAUCCUGUUGGGGAUAAACAACAUCUGACCCCAGCACCCAUCAUGAGCUUAAUUUGUGUAGAAGAAAGCAUAAGACAAUCUUAAGUAACUCUGUUGCUGAUGUCUGUGUCUCUGAAGAUGGGAUGUAUAGCCAGCAGUGACGAUGAGGAGCCUGCAGGCCAUAUCACAUCAUCACCAUCACUGUUCUUGUCCAUGCAGAAGACAAUUUAGCAGAUCCUGAGGAUCAGGAUGAGAAUAAUGGGACCAGAAAUCUAUUGCAAUAGGGACACCUGGGAGGAAGUGAUCUUUGAUCCUGGAGCUCAAAGAGGUGGAGCUUCGAGUAUACAGAAGCUGGAUGAAGCUCCCAGGAUUUGAAGCAAAAGUUGCCUUGUUGGUUUUCCUCUUCCACAGGGAUAAUAGUUUAUAUUAUAUAGAGCUCUACAGAUUUAGGUUUAAUUUGCUACAUAAUUUUAAUGUUAGUAUUUAAUGUUAAAAUUUUAUAUUAAAUAAUAUUUACUUGGUAUCAGUUGCUUUUUAAGCCCACUAAAAAAAUGCAUCAGGGCUGAGGUUGUGACUCUGUGGUAGAGUGCUCACCUAGCAAAUGUGAGGCACUGGUUUUAAUCCUCUGUACCACAUAAAAAUAAAUAUUUAAAAUAAAGGUAUACAUAAAUGGAGUAUAACUUAUUAAAAUGACACAUCAUAGAAAACACACUAAAUAAAGGUAGAUUUUUUGAGGUAGAUCUUAAUGAAUUACAUGGUAUGUGGUGACCACCAUCAUCAUCAUUCCUCUCCUCCCAUAAUCCUUAUUUUCUUAUUUUUGUUUUUUUUAGGUUUAUGGUAUAAUAAGUACAGUGAAGAAAUAAUUAAAUUGCAAGCUACAUAAAAUCCCAACUAAAUUCUAAAAGUAUCUAAUUAAUGCUUUCAUUCAUCAGUUAAAUAAAAGCCCAAGAAAGUCAUACACCCAAUAUAAAUAAGUAUUGUAAAACAGUUGGCAAUUUUCAGUCAUCAGAAUUGUGAAUUUUGCAAUUUGGUUCCUUCUCUCAAUCAAGAAAAAUAUUUUUGAAUGUUAUACAACAUACAUAUAAAGCAUGAUAGAAAAUACAUUAUAAACUUGUAACAAUGGCUGCAAAUACAUUACAUUACAUGUUUCUCAUAGGCAAUGGGUUGGUUAUGGUUCAUAUAGAGCACAAAAACUACUAAGAUAUUAAUCAAGAGUAGACAAAAAAUAUAUGUCAGCUGUAUGGUAACAGGGACAAUCCCAUCUACCUAUGUUAAUAAUUACACAAUAUUGUCAUAAAAGUAUCUUAAAACUAUACUUUAAUAAGAAAUAAAUUCAAUGAAGAAUGAUAA